GAUGAACGCUGGCGGCGUGCCUAAUACAUGCAAGUCGAGCAAACAGACGAGGAGCUUGCUCCUCUGACGUUAGCGGCGGACGGGUGAGUAACACGUGGAUAACCUACCUAUAAGACUGGGAUAACUUCGGGAAACCGGAGCUAAUACCGGAUAAUAUAUUGAACCGCAUGGUUCAAUAGUGAAAGACGGUUUUGCUGUCGCUUAUAGAUGGAUCCGCGCCGCAUUAGCUAGUUGGUAAGGUAACGGCUUACCAAGGCGACGAUGCGUAGCCGACCUGAGAGGGUGAUCGGCCACACUGGAACUGAGACACGGUCCAGACUCCUACGGGAGGCAGCAGUAGGGAAUCUUCCGCAAUGGGCGAAAGCCUGACGGAGCAACGCCGCGUGAGUGAUGAAGGUCUUCGGAUCGUAAAACUCUGUUAUUAGGGAAGAACAAAUGUGUAAGUAACUAUGCACGUCUUGACGGUACCUAAUCAGAAAGCCACGGCUAACUACGUG
rnacentral:rRNA from 1 species